rnacentral:snRNA from 1 species
GUGCUCACUUUGGCAGCAGUUGGAACGAUACAGAGAAGAUCCGCAUGGCCCUUGCACAAGGAAGACACACAAAUUCGUGGAACAUUCCAUAUUUUU